rnacentral:rRNA from 1 species
UACGGGGGGGGCAAGCGUUGUUCGGAAUUACUGGGCGUAAAGGGCUCGUAGGCGGCCAACUAAGUCAGACGUGAAAUCCCCAGGCUCAACCUGGGAACUGCGUCUGAUACUGGAUGGCUUGAAUUCGGGAGAGGGAUGCAGAAUUCCAGGUGUAGCGGUGAAAUGCGUAGAUAUCUGGAGGAACACCGGUGGCGAAGGCGGCAUCCUGGACCGGCAUUGACGCUGAGGCGCGAAAGCCAGGGGAGCAAACGGG